rnacentral:rRNA from 1 species
UCAAGUCAUCAUGCCCCAUAUGUCCUGGGCUACACACGUACUACAAUGGGCUUUAUACAGAGAGAGGCGAAGCCGCGAGGCGGAGCAAAACUCACAAAUAAGCUCUCAGUUCGGAUCGAAGGCUGAAACUCGCCUUCGUGAAGUAGGAAUCGCUAGUAAUCGCAGAUCAGCAUGCUGCGGUGAAUACGUUCCCGGGCCUU